rnacentral:lncRNA from 1 species
GGUUUAUUACAGGAUAUUGAAAGUAGUUCCCUGUGCUAUAUGGCAGGACGUUGCUGUCUAUCUAAAACAUUUUUUGAUGUGUGACUUCUAAAGUCUGAGAAUGCUGUGAGACAGGGAAGGGCUCGGGGGAGGGGGGGCUUUUGCAGGAGAAACAUAAAAAUGAAAUAUUAACAUGAUCAGGCGCUAGCUUCAAGGCGUUCUCUAGAAAAUAAAUGCUGCCACAUUUCAUUUCUUUAAGCCCUUUGUCUAACAUAGUUCGUAUCUCUGUCCUCAUUAUUUAAUUAUAGGCCUAAGGAGUCACUGGAGACGGGGGGCAUCUAGUCUCAUGAUUGAUUUUAUUUAUUGGUUGUGGUCAGGUUGGAGACCUCUGGGAAGUAGGCAGUUUCCCAAAAUAGUGGAUUUUAGAUGUUACUUAGUCGCUUAUUCAGAGAACCAGUUAUUUAACCAGAUUUCUGUGGCUAACUGACAGGUGUAGCACACUGAAUGUCAUUAUCCCUUAUGCAGAGCUCAUCACAAAAUUAUCUGGGCACUCGUGGAAAAGUCUCCCAAGUUAGAAUCAGGGUAGGAAGUGCGCUUUGACUAGCCAGCUGGACUUGGCAUUGUGAGAAUUAAGAAUCUUAAUUUUUUAAAAAUGAUUUUUAUUUUUUUCUAUUAUAGCUGGUUUACAGUGUUCUGUCAAUUUUCUACUGUACAGCAAGGUCACACAGUCACACAUACAUGUAUAUUCUUUUUUCUCAUAUUAUCAUGCUCCAUCAUUAAGUGACUAGAUAUAGUUUCCAGUGCUAUACAGCAGGAUCUCAUUGCUUAUCCCUUCCAAAGGCAAAAGUUUGCAUCUAUUAAUCCCAGAUUCCCAGUCCAUCCCACUCCCUCCCCCUUGGCAACCGCAAGUCUAUUUUCCAUGUCCAUGCAUUUCUUUUCUGUGGAAAGGUUCAUUUGUGCCAUAUAUUAGAUUCUAGAUAUAAGUGAUAUCAUAUGGUAUUUGUCUUUCUCUUUCUGACUUACUUCGCUUAGGAUGAGAGUCUCUAGUUCCAUCCAUGUCGCUGCAAAUGGCAUUAUUUUGUUCUUGUUUAUGGCUGAGUAGUAGAAUCUUAAUUUUAAAGAGUGAAGAGGUUUUAUGAGGUUCUCCCAAAGAGCCACACAUUUGAAAAACUGAGAAGUUUUCCCAAGCGGAUGACCCACUCAGUCUCCCCUUGCACUGAACCGGCCCCUACAGCCCCUCACGUAAGUCCCUGCCAGGGAGGAAGGCCAGCUGCUUAUGAGAACCACGCUGAUUUCUGAGAGCUGAGAUGGGCGAGCGGGAGCCAGUCUCAGACUUCCUAAGAACCCUGGCAGGUGGUGUACGUGGGUGAGGCAUGCCUGGGGCCAGGGUGGUGAUGGGGGAGGCAUGGACCCUUUUGGAAGGGGGUCAUUGGACCCUCUCUAGGGUGUUUUUGUCAAGAAACCAUGCAAGCUCAGUGAUGCAGGCUGUUGAGGUGUCUCUCAGUGCUUAAAUGUCAGCAGCUAAUUCACUAUCCUGGAGAGUAUGGUAGAAACCUCACAAAAAUGCUUGUAGCAUGGAUUUGGCCACAUCUGCUGGCUUGUCACCUUGCUGCGGGAGCAGGCAUUUACAUCGAGGGCAAAUUCAGUGCCCUGUUUUCAUGACAUGUAUUUGGCAUCCACUUCUUAUCUAUUCUGAAGUGAAAUUCACAGAUAAUACAACUGAGAACAUGGUUCUUCUUAGAAAAAGAUCAUGUUGCCUUUACUCUCAUACAUAGGAGAGGUAACAGGAAAGAAACUUACAAUAACAGCAUAUACUUUAACAAGUAAAUGCUCAGGUGUGACAAUAUUAUAAGUGGAAAAGGCCCUAUAAAUGUCUAAAAUGUUCUCUAGGGGGCAGGAUUGUCCCCACGGAAAGGCGCAAUGCCAGCAGCUUCUGAUUCUUAGGAAUCCUCUCCUGCUUCCUAGAACUUUUAUCAGUCUUAGCUCUGCCCGCUGGUACGCGCAGAUCACAUUCAGCUUCGCCUUUAUGGGACAAGUUGAAAAAAUGUAAAAAGAAUUUCUAUCUCUCCCCUCACCCUACACCCUUCUCAUGCCUAGAUUUUGUCUUCUCUGGCCAAGCAUUUUCACAGUUCCUUCAAUUAUUCCUGACAGAAUUCACCCCUGCUCCCUCUACCAAUGAAGGUUGCCUCCAUCAUUCUCAGUCUCGUAUGUCUGGGACCCUACCUGGUUCUGAAUCCAUCCUGCAUAGCAGGACGUAUCUGAGUUGCCCUGCCUUUCCCCUCUUCACCCCCAACCGGGAGCAUUUGAAGUUUCCCGUGUAGAGGGACUUGAACCGCUGUGUGCCAUGUGGCAGCCAAGGCCAUCUUGAUGUCACAGUGACUUAGGUAAUGAGACCUGUCAUGAGUGCUAGGCUGCUCCCCAGGCAUUGUAUACACUGGAGCGUCUGAAUGGCCAGAUUUGACUGCACUGGACCUGUAACAGAAGCUGUAGACCUAAUAUCUGUACUGGUGCAGUGAACUGCGGCUGCAUCUCAGUUGCUGGGUUCACUCGGCAGCUGCUUUGUGUGUGCAUCACCUUCUCAGUGUUGGUGCUGUUGGCACUUAAGUCACCAGUUUAUCCAGUGCCCUGAUUUGGGAUGAGACCUUUAGAGGAGGCACAGGAAGCUGAUGAAUCCCUGUAUUUGGUGCUUUUGUCCUUAUGGGCUACUUCUAGCUCACUUCAUAUCUACUGCAAUGUGAAACUUGGCAUUGUCUUUAUUUUUUUGUUGUUUUUAUUUUUGUCUUUUUUAGGGCUACACCCAAAGCAGGUGGAAGUUCCCAGGCUAGGAGUCAAAUCGGAGCUGUAGCUUCUGGCCUACACCGUAGCCACAACAACAUCAGAUCUGAGCUGCAGCUGUGACCUAACCACAGCCCAUGGCAAUGCCUGAUUCUUAACCCACUGAGCUAGGCCAGGGAUCAAACCCGAGUCCUUAUGGAAGCUAGUCGGAUUCAUUACCACUGAGUCAUGACAGGAGCUCCCUUGGUAUUGUCUUUAAAUCUACAAAACAUUGAAACCAUUUACAUUAAGAACUUAUGAAUUAGUGGGUUUUUAAAAAAAAUUUCAGAGUAUCAAUAGGAGUCACCACAUUGCAUAGUAUGUUGACUUUCAUCAUCUCACUUAUUUCUCUUACAUCCUCCUCACUCCUUCCUCCUGAUUGCCUGUGAAACUUCAAAAAUUCAUUCCUCUUUGAUACAGAAUAAUCUCCAAUUCUCAUUAACUUUAGUUCUAGCCAACAUAUAGGACCUAACCAGGCGUAUUAGUCCAUUCAUGCUGCUAUAACAAAAUGCCAUUGAUUGGAUGGCAUGUAAACAACAGAUAUUUUUUCUCACAAUUUAAAAGGCUGGGAAGGCCAAGAUUAGCUUCUCGGUUCACAGAGAGCCAUCUUUUUGCUAUAACUGCCCAUGGUGGAAGGGGUGAGAGAUCUCCCUGGAGUCUCUUUUAUAAGGACACUACUCCCAUUCAUGAGGGCACCACCCUCGGGACCUAGUCACCUCUCAAAGGCACCACCUCCAAAUAUCAUAGUGUUGAGGGAAUAGGUUGGAAUAUAUGAAUGAGGUGGGGACAUAAACAUUCAGUCCAUUGCACCAGGGGAGGGGGUAAAGUGGGGAGACAAGAGAGAGACUCACUAAGCACCCCAGUCUUUGUCAAAAUUAUUUUUCAAACCAAGUUCUUUCCCUUGGUUUCUCAUGCCUGCUGUGAAAACUAUAACACAUUUUUUUGCGCCCUGUGCAUUUGGAUGCUUUAUUCCAUCCACCCAUGUGGAAAAGUUACACAUUUAUGAUUUAUUUGUGUAUUCCUUCUGCAUCUGUUUAUUGAGUGCCCUCCCUGUGACAGGGAAUGGGCUAAGCCCUGGGGUACUCAGGCCUUACCUCAAGGAAUUGGUGUUUUGGUAACAGGAGGGAAGGCAAACACAUAAGUCAACCUUGUGUGCUUUGAUAGCAGUGUUGUUGGAUGUUAUGGAGCCACAAAAAAGCACUAUGUGAUUUGGCCUUCAGAGGCCAGAGAGGCCCGCGUGGACUGAAUGAUGGCUGAGUCUUGAAAGAUGAGGAGGGGUUAGCCUGGUGAAGGAGGAGGGGAAGGGAGUUCCAAAUAGAUUGUGGAGCAUGUGCCAAUGGAUAGGUGAGCACAUGACAAAGAACAUGAGUCCUAGCCAUGUGAGAGUGGCUUGCUUGGGACCAGGGCAAAGGCUCUUCCCGAGAAUGCUGAGUGUCCCUAACUGGUCUUUGGUUCUACUCUGCAAGUAAAGGCCCAUGCAAUCUGCUUAUGGCAUUUGUUCAGCAAAGACUUUACCCUUGGUAUCAAGAAUUUUUUUUUCUCAUUUCCCCAUUGAAUUGAUUUUCUCCCCCUUCCUGUUGUCUUGGCAGCACUUAAGGAAAUGAAGAUCUUUGGAGAGGCUCUGCUGAGAUCCCAUCUCUGGGAACUGGUAACAGUUAGGAUUCUGGACUCUGGCUGUGCUCAGGGUGGAGGACCUUGGAGUUGAGUAGAUGUAGGUUCAUGUCCUAGUUCUGCCUGCCCUCAGGCAAAGUUUUUGACCCCUUUGAGGCUGAGUUUCCUUAUCUGUAAAAUGGGAAUAGAAUAAUACCUACGUUACCAAGGUGUGGUGAUGUGAGGUACUGCCCCAUGUAGCAAAAGCAUAACACAAAUGGCAGCUUUUGUCUUAAUCUUCAUUAAAAAACAAAAAAUCCCACUCACUGAAUAGGGAAAUUGUGGCUGUGGAACCCUGGGCCUAUGUGGAAAAAGACGGUUGAGAACUAAGUGCAUGAAAGACAGAAGCAAGGAAGUCCUCUGGUCUCACUGCCUCUCUUUGUCACCAAAAGAGGAAAAUAAAGAAGCUAUUAUGGAGUUCCUAUUGUGGCUCGGUGGUAGCAAACCCAACUAGUAUCCAUGAGGACGGGGGUUUGAUCUCUGGCCUCGCUCAGUGGGUUGAGGACCUGUCAUUGCCCUGAGCUUUGG